GCGGAGGAAAAGAAACCAACAGGGAUUGCCCUAGUAACGGCGAGUGAAGCGGCAACAGCUCAAAUUUGAAAUCUGGCUUCGGCCCGAGUUGUAAUUUGCAGAGGAAGCUUUAGGCGCGGCACCUCCUGAGUCCCCUGGAACGGGGCGCCACAGAGGGUGAGAGCCCCGUAUAGUUGGAUGCCUAGCCUGUGUAAAGCUCCUUCGACGAGUCGAGUAGUUUGGGAAUGCUGCUCAAAAUGGGAGGUAAAUUUCUUCUAAAGCUAAAUACCGGCCAGAGACCGAUAGCGCACAAGUAGAGUGAUCGAAAGAUGAAAAGCACUUUGAAAAGAGGGUUAAAUAGCACGUGAAAUUGUUGAAAGGGAAGCGCUUGUGACCAGACUUGCGCCGGGCUGAUCAUCCGGUGUUCUCACCGGUGCACUCUGCCCGGCUCAGGCCAGCAUCGGUUCUCGCGGGGGGAUAAAGGCCCUGGGAACGUAGCUCCUCCGGGAGUGUUAUAGCCCGGGGCGCAAUGCCCUCGCGGGGACCGAGGUUCGCGCUCUGCAAGGAUGCUGGCGUAAUGGUCAUCAGCGACCCGUCUUGAAACACGGACCAAGGAGUCAAGGUUUUGCGCGAGUGUUUGGGUGUAAAACCCGCACGCGUAAUGAAAGUGAACGUAGGUGAGAGCUUCGGCGCAUCAUCGACCGAUCCUGAUGUUCUCGGAUGGAUUUGAGUAGGAGCGUUAAGCCUUGGACCCGAAAGAUGGUGAACUAUGCUUGGAUAGGGUGAAGCCAGAGGAAACUCUGGUGGAGGCUCGCAGCGGUUCUGACGUGCAAAUCGAUCGUCAAAUCUGAGCAUGGGGGCGAAAGACUAAUCGAACCAUCUAGUAGCUGGUUACCGCCGAU
rnacentral:rRNA from 1 species